GGCUGGCGCGCGCCUGCCCCCCCCCCCCCCCCCCGCUGAUGUCACGCGCAAACCCGGGCGCACCUCUCGCGCGUGGUGGGAAAAGAGGGCGUGGCCGGCGGCGCCCCUCUCUGCCUCCAUAUAGGGAAUGGAAUGCGGGGGCGGGGCCGCCGCGGCCCCAAGCCGGUCACCUCUGCUGGGAAAGCCGGCGGGCGGGGGGAGCCGCGCCUCACAGCCCGAAAAUAUGGUAACGGCGGAACCGGAAAGAGGGAGGAGUUUCGGCGGGCAGGUAAGAAGCGUCCACACGGGGAAAAAGGCCCAGACUCCUGCCUCGGAGGGAUGCUGAAAGGGGACAACCUCCUCUGGAGCAGGAGACGGAGUGAGUGCCCCCACGCAGCAAGCCCUUGAGGUCACUUCUUUCUGAAAGGAUUAGUGUGAACAUAACUACACCUUUCUCAUCAAGUCAUACCAGCUGUUGCAAGUAAUGCUGAACAAAAGACCUAAGAAGAACUGAAAAUGCUGGUUGGAAUUUUUAUUCUGUUAAUGAGUUUUUAUUUGAGGAUGUGGAGAAAGAAUGAAGAAGUGCAGAGAGAUUUGUCAAGGAAGGUAACAAUGAGUGAACUCUCUAAUACGGUGUUUUGGUCAAAAUACCUCAUGUAAUUCUUGGCUAUACAAAGAGAAAUCUCUGGUGACUACAAAGGCAAUACUGGCUCUGUGUUUGGCACUGAAACAAUUUUUGCUGGAACUUGCUUUGUCCAGUUUAGGAUUCAAGAAGACUGUUGGUGGACAGAAAAGCUUGAGUGAAGAGCCAGAAAACUCAUUAAUUGAAGCGGUGUGAUACAGAGAAGUUUUUCUGUUUGGUUUAUUAAACAGAAAGAUGUAUCGACUGGAGUCCAAAAGUACCUGCAAUGAAACAGAAACUUAAUACCUGCCUUUUCCAUCUAGCUGACAGAUGCAUAACAGGAUCCAAUCACUGGACGUUGAAGUCCAAAAAAUCAGACUAGAACCAAGCGGUACAAUUUUCCCUAAAUAAUGAGCACGUAUCCAUUGGAACUGUUUGAUGAAAAUUAUAAUGGGUUUUCCAUCUCUAGGAGUUUUAACCUCAAGGGAGAUCUUUCUUAAGAGACAUAUUCUAGCUGAACCAGCAGUAGUUCAGGAAUGGUCAGGAACUUCUACGACAAAAAAGAUCAGCCCAGAUGGUCAUAGUGGAUGUUCUGGCCUUAUCACUGAUGGAGACAAGAUGGCUUUGAUUCUUCCUUCAGCUCUGCUGUGGGCUUACUUCAUGAUCCAGUUUUUUGUCUAUGGGUGCUAACAUUUGUACUGGAGCUUCAGUGCAUCUGCAGUCUUUUAAGAAAGGGCAUAAUCAUCUGUAAAUAGUAUGGUGUGGUAAGGGAUCCAGACUGCAUAAAAACCUGUUCUAAAGAUGUCCGCAGAUGAUAGGCAGCCACAUGUGGAAUUUUAGCACUUCUUUUCCUUGUUUAUACUGGUUUCUGAGCCACAGUCUAGUGAAUUAACAGUAUACCUGGUGAUUCUCUGCUACUAUAUGAAGGUAGAAUACUGGUUUGGAUUAACAGUUUUAGCUGAUGUAUUAUCUCUUACAUGAUUUUAAAUGCGCCAGGAAUAUGCCCAUUUUGACACUUGAUUUUUUAGCUUGUCCAAAACUUGCAACUUGUAUUUAGGCUCUUGCCUGUAAAGUGAUGCUUAGUCCUUCAAGUAAAAAGUGCAGAAGUAAUCAGUAACAUUAGCUUAUUGUUACAUACAGCAUACCAAUUCCCUCUUUGUGCAUAGAAAACUAAAAUUACAUCCUUGCUUGGCUGAAAACCUCCUUUCUGCAAGCGAUAAAAAAUGCAAAUAUCCCUUACAGUGGCUACUUCAGCCUGCUUGCAGCUUGGGGCAAUACCACAUUGGCAGAAGGACAACGUAUUGUCUCUGAUGGCUAUGAAACCUCUCUGAACUCAACCUGAAUAUGAACUUAUACAAAAGGGAUCUCUGUGCAGUGAGAAGAACUCGAAAACAGAGCAUCAUUAUGUAAGAAAUUUAAAAUAAGCUAGAGAGCAUGUUUCAAUGAGAUCAGCAUUCCAAGUAGUCCUUAACAACUGGAUAUUUCUAUCUCUGUUGCCACUAUUUUUUCUUUAUGACUGAUAUGAAUUUUUCUGUUAAAUGUCCUCCAAGCUGGAAACUUUUACCUGAUAGCAAUCCUUCUAAACAGCCUUUUGGUGCAAAGAUGACCUAUGCAAGUCUCCCAGCUUCUUCAGUUACUUUGAUACUGGUGAGGAAGGGAUGUGUUUAAUUUUUUUUUUUAACAAAGCCUCACAAAGUACCCUGUAUUUUCCUGUCCUGUAUUGAAGAAGCUAAUAAAUUGCAUGAUCUCAAGAAAUCAGGACAGAGAAGAGACACAGUAGUGUCAUGAAAGUAGUAGGUAACUCUGGUCUCCUCCUCAUUGCAGCACUGACCAGGAAGGAGCUGUGCUAUUAUUGUAAUAAUUGCUGCCCUUGGGAUCGGUAGCUCCAGGGCUUAGCCUCUAUUCAGAUGAAGUCAAUUUCUCACUAAGCUUCUAAACAGUAUUUUACUGCUGAGGAGAUUCUUUAUUAUCUUUUAGGGUAGCUUUUAUCUUUUACAUUCUCAUUGGACUGCCUUGCGUGUUCUUUGUGGUUUCACUGGUCACCGCUCAUUGAGGAGUACAUGUGAUGUGUCACUCCUUCCUCAUCCAUCCUUGGAUCAGAUAGCUGUUUGAUUGUACUUGAAGUACUCUGGAAAUCCACAGGUAACAAAAGCAUCACAUUUCUAAGUAGGCCUUGUGUCACAUACCUGAACCUCUCAGGUGCCUCUUGGCAAUUCCAGUUUCCUAUUGAGUGCUUCUAAGAAUCAUGUUUAACUGUGGAUCUUCUUGUGUCCCCUCCAUGGUAAAGACUCUGCCCAGCAACUCUCACUGAGACAGGAGGUUCUGAAGUACAACUGUCAUGAAACCAUGGCUUAGUCCCUCAGACCUCCACAGUUAAUUUUUGCCUUCUCCUGGUGGAGUCUUGUGUCUCAGGUGCUGUUGUUUGUAUUGCAAUGAAGUCACAAGGAGAGAACCUGGAAAGCAGCACAGCAUUUGCUGGUCUACACACACUUGACUAUCAUUUCCCCCUUUCUCAUGGGCAUCCGAAGAAAUAAGUUUUGAUCCAUGGCUGUGGGGAAAGGAGGAUGGAGAAGGUUUUGCCUCCUUUCCCCAGUUUUUCUUUCUGUCUUUGCAGUGAAGGAGGUUUCUCUUCUGAAAGAGCCUAAGUCUUUUAGACUUCUAGUGAGAUUUUCUGGGGAUACACACCAGGCUGACAUCAAAGUGCUGUGAUAGCAGUCAGUUGUUUGUAGUGGCAAUGUAAUUGCUCUUCCAGGCUGAAAGUACACUUGACUGAGGUACUCUUGAAGGCUGUUUCGGCUCCAUAGAUAUAAGCUUGUCUCUGCUACAAAAUGGUGAGUCUAAUCUGCACUUUAAAUUUCAGUGAAAUCGUAUCCACAAACUGGCAGGCAUUCCCCAGACUAUCACCCUUUGCUUUUAAUGUAUGAGCUGACUGACACAGCGAGAUCAAAUGAUUUUCCAGACUUUUUGCUCUAUCCACUAGGCAGCAUUUUUCAUUUCAGUUUCCUGUAGUGAGACUGUAUCUCCAAUGAUAGCUUAGAUUCUCAUCUGGUGUAAAUUAUCAAAGUUCCAGCCAACUUCAAGGGAUUUGAUAAUUUAUGCCAUCUGAAGUUUUACAUCUGAAAACUCUAAUAAAAAGCAGCUGCUACUUUCUUUAACUAAUCUGAAAAAUGGUAAGUGCUUAGUAUGUGUCUGAGUCUAGCUAUCUUAAUACCUGUUAAUCAGCUGCCAGCAGACCACUGCAUAGUGGAGAAUUGAAGUCCUUUGUCCUGAAUCUGAGUAACUGAUAUUGUGUCCUGUAUUUUAUCAAAAAUGAAAGUUGAACAGAGACUCACCUAAUCCUUGACAGCAACUUUCCUGGGAUACCUAAAAGCCAACACUCCCUUGGCAAAGCCUUUGAGUUUGGCUCUGCCAGAAGCUAGUGAAAUCUUUAUACUGACCAGGAACAUUAUGUGUAUUAUGCAUAUGCAAUAUUUUAGAGCAGUUACUUAGGUUUGUCAAUUCAGUGUGGUUUAGUUUUGAUUUCUGUAUUCAGCUUCAAGCCAUAUGAGCACUACUUGAUUUGUGGUAUCAAUUUGAACUUGUAAAGAAUGAGUUGCACAGAUACAAAAUUUAUGUCAAGAAUAUGGGAGGAACUUGUGAAGAGUUUCAGAGAAAACAUGGUCUCUGACCUAUUGCAGAGUGCAAUACUGGAAAUAAAGUACCUAUCACGAUAUGUUCAAAGAAAA